CAUACAGAAAGAACACAAGUGGUAACAGAAAAGUGAGGAUCAUCUAACCCUACCUCACAGCCUAAGAAAAGAAUGCUAUCACUUGUUUCUGUGAGGUCAUCAAGUGUCAAGGACAGAGUUCCUCCAUGGGGAGCUAACACCUGACAUUUUGCACAGAAAGGUGUCUCCCAGAAUUACCUCACACUCUGCAUAGAUAUAGAGAUUACUCCCAUCUUCAGUGAGUUUGAGAGGGGCCUAUAAAUAGGAUCAGCCUCUUUUUCUGUCUUCAGAUACUACUUUGAAAACAAGAUGAAAGCCAUGGAAUCUCCGAGAAAAAUGUACAUCUUACAGACUUUCAGUGAGUUCUGGAACACCAGGAACCUAGAGUCCACACGAAUGAACAGCAGUUUCCUAACCUAAUGCGAGAGACUUAAGAUUUCUUCUGCGUCCCAUGAUCUUCUAAUAAUUGUCUUCUUAGCAAGACUAGACACAGCUCCAAGAAAUGUGCACUACCAUGAAUGUCUUCCAGCUAUCUUCUAUGACAGCAUUUCCCAGUGCAUUCUGUGGAAUAAUGGUACAGGGUGAUGUUCUAUGAAGAAAAAUAAAUAUGGAAAGUAAUAUAUUCCACAGUCCGUACAUUAGAUUGCCUACACAACAGCAAUAUGCUGUAGUUUAAUAGGAUUUGAAUGAAUAAAAUUAAUGCUCACAGCUAUUUUCUUCUGCCGGCAAAUAUUUUUCUGACCAUAAUCUUGCUAAACAGAAUUCAUCUGAACUUAUGUUGUUGCCAACAAAUAUACGAACAAUUAUACCUAAUCAAAAACAAAAACCAAACUGAUGUUCAAGAAAAUUAAUCAUUUGCUUUGAAUAAAUCAGCUAUUAAGAAAGCUUACAUAAUUGAGUCUGACAGUGCCAAAUCAUGUCUGAGAUGAAACACUGCAUGAUACAUAAUCAAACAGAUAUUUGCAAGAGCUGUGGGUUGGGGGAGAGUGCAAAUGUUUCCCAGCACUCCUGUAUGUCAUGGGAGCACACAAUAAAACACUUGAAGAACUGCAAUAAUAAAAGGUUUAAAGAGCUGCAAUAAUAGGUUUUGCACACUGUAGUGGCUACUGAUACUGAGAACAUUUUAGAAGUUCAUCUCUAUCAUCUAAACACUACACACCACCACAAUCUAUUUAUUACGUCUUAAUAGGAAUUCUAUGCUAAUAUUUUAUCCCUUUGCAUCUGCUCUGUUUUACUAUUUGGGUCAUAUCUCUUGUUAGAAACAAUGUUUGACCCAUCUAUUCUCAAUACAAAUAAAAAGCUUUUAACACAUAAA